rnacentral:rRNA from 1 species
CGCAUCUGUGCAUGCAGCAUAUCAAUAAGCGGAGGAAAAGAAACUAACUAGGAUUCCCUUAGUAACGGCGAGUGAAGCGGGAAGAGCUCAAAUUUGAAAUCUUCAAGGUUUUACCUUGACGAAUUGUAGUUUAAAGAAGUGUUUUCUGCUGAAGUUUUGGUAAAAGUUCUUUGGAAUAGGACAUCAUAGAGGGUGAGAAUCCCGUAUUUGACCAUUAUUUUCAGCUUUGUGAUACACUUUCAAAGAGUCGGAUUGUUUGGGAAUGCAGUCCAAAAUGGGUGGUAAAUUUCAUCUAAAGCUAAAUAUUGGCGAGAGACCGAUAGCGAACAAGUACCGUGAGGGAAAGAUGAAAAGAACUUUGAAAAGAGAGUUAAACAGUACGUGAAAUUGUCAAAAGGGAAGCGUUUGACACCAGUGUUGUUUUCUCGAAAAUCAAUUAAAAAUGGCUCGAUUUUGUAUUGUUGAGACCUUAAAAGCUCACUGUACAUUUUUCGUGUCUUUUUUAAUGCACUUUUCGUUUAACAAGUCAACAUCAGUUUCUUUUGUUGUAAAAGGGUCAUUGGAAGGUGGCUUUCUUUUCGGAGAAAGUGUUAUAGCCUUUGGCCUCUGCAAUCGGAGAGACUGAGGUCUGCAGCGUAGACUCUUCGGGGUUAGAUACAUUUGUGCUAAGUUAUAGCUUUUUAUAGACAACUUGUUGACUAUAAUUAGUCUUGUAGCUUACUCGCUUAUGCUAUUUUACCUACGCUUAGGAUGUUGAAGAUAUGCGCGACACG